UUAAAUUAAGGGGUGAAUAAGAUUUUAGAUAAUGGGAGCGACAUUUUCAAAUUUUUAACUUAAUAUUUUCUUGGUAUUCUUUACCUUCUCUGGCACAAUCAUAGGAGCUCUGGCAAACAACCGAAGCUCAAGUCCACCGCACAAUAGAUCCCUUUCCCUAUAGAUUUGAGAAUCAAACGAACCUUUUGUCAUUCCCUUCAUAUUCCUACACCAGUAGCUUAAACAACUCCAUUGUCUUCUUCCUUUCACUUUUAAUUUCUUCCAUCAACAAACUUCACACAGACACAGACACAGACAACCACACCCACAACCCACCGUAAAAACAACCCAGAAAUCCAUCGGAGCAGUGAGCUCGAAGGUCUGCCAAGUUCCAGCAGCCGGUUCAACAAUAAACGAUCUCAUUCUACAUGUUUUCCGACCACGAGCUCACUCCACCGUUACUCGGCUGUUCAACAACCCAAUAACAACACAACAUCUCAACCACGAAGCUCCAUCACCAAAUUUCUACCAAACCCACUUCCUUUUCACCUUCGUUCUCCAACUACCAGACCCUUCUAGCCAUUUUCUCCGACCAAACCACAACCCAAAAACCCAACAAAGAACUGACUCGUUUUGCUUUCCUUUUAUGAUAAUUUGUUUGUUUCUUUUUUUUGUCGGUACCUCAGCGAUAACCACCAAACAAUAACUCCAUCUCCGACAGAUCUCAAAGCUCGAAAAACCUAAUCCACCGGCGAAGCUCAACAGUUCAAACAAGCCGCCAGACCCACCAAAAGUCGACCUCAAAAUUCCAUCUCCGACCAAAACCGUUUUCAUCGGCGAAACCGACUCCAAUUUCCGGUACACAUAAUUUUUUCCAUUGAAGCUACUCGAAGAGCUCGAAUUAUAUUUUUUAUUCAUUAUUAUGUAAAUAUUGACGUUAGGCAGACCUUGGGUCGUUUCUUAUAUUAUUAUUUUAUUUUAUUUUUUACUUGUG